rnacentral:tRNA from 1 species
UAGCUUAGUUGGUAGAGUACUUGCCUCACAUGCACAAGACCCUGGGUUCGAUUCCCAG